AUUGAACGCUGGCGGCAUGCUUUACACAUGCAAGUCGAACGGUAACAGGGUGCCUGCACCGCUGACGAGUGGCGAACGGGUGAGUAAUACAUCGGAAUGUACCCAGUAAUGGGGGAUAACGCUUCGAAAGGAGUGCUAAUACCGCAUACGCCCUGAGGGGGAAAGUGGGGGACCGCAAGGCCUCACGUUAUUGGAGCAGCCGAUGGCUGAUUAGCUAGUUGGUGAGGUAAAGGCUCACCAAGGCGACGAUCAGUAGCGGGUCUUAGAGGACGAUCCGCCGCACUGGAACUGAGACACGGUCCAGACUCCUACGGGAGGCAGCAGUGGGGAAUCUUGGACAAUGGGCGAAAGCCUGAUCCAGCAAUGCCGCGUGCGUGAAGAAGGCCUUCGGGUUGUAAAGCGCUUUUGUCUGGGAGCAAAUCAUGGCCUCUAAUACAGGUCGGGGAUGAGAGUACCAGAAGAAUAAGGACCGGCUAACUACGUGCCAGCCGCCGCCGUAACAC
rnacentral:rRNA from 1 species